GGCUACUUCCGGGAUGUCACCAAGGAGGACCUUGCAGAAAUCCUACCUCCAUUUGCCAAUCCCUUGAAAGAUCCCAUCUUUCUGAUCCCACCCAUGGGCAGACCGUACACCCUGAGCGACGAGGAUGAGCCAGCGAUGCGAUUUUUUGCUGGACAUCAACGCAAUCGUGCCAGACCAGCACCUCAGCAUCCAUUGAUGAAGGACCGUGUGUCUGAGCUAAAGGCACAGGCAGCUGCAGAGGUGCGCAUGCAAUGCAUGAUGCAUACCAUGCUGGAAGGCCUUGCUGUGUUUCGUUUUUGACAUGUUGACUCAAAUCUCUCUGGAUGUCUCACAUCUUUUUGAUUAAGCAAGAUAGUAGGAAGAUGGGCUCCUUGUGCCUGUGCAGACACCUGUGCCCCGCAACGAGGAAACACCCAACAGCGACUCUCCUGCUCUUGAUGACAC
rnacentral:lncRNA from 1 species